rnacentral:rRNA from 1 species
CUUUCUUUUGCUGGCGGCCGGCGCACGGGUGAGUAACACGUAUCCAACCUGCCCUUUACUCGGGGAUAGCCUUUCGAAAGAAAGAUUAAUACCCGAUAGCAUAAUGAUUCCGCAUGGUUUCAUUAUUAAAGGAUUCCGGUAAAGGAUGGGGAUGCGUUCCAUUAGGUUGUUGGUGAGGUAACGGCUCACCAAGCCUUCGAUGGAUAGGGGUUCUGAGAGGAAGGUCCCCCACAUUGGAACUGAGACACGGUCCAA